rfam:Pan troglodytes isolate Yerkes chimp pedigree #C0471 (Clint) chromosome 7, whole genome shotgun sequence.
GCCGGGCAUCGUGGCGGGUGCCUGUAAUCCCAGCUACUUGGGAGGCUGAGGCAGAGAAUUGCAUGAACCCAGGAGGCCGAGGUUGCAGUGAGCUGAGAUCAUGCCACUGCACUCCAGCCUGGGCAACAGAGCAAGACUCUGUCUCAA